rnacentral:rRNA from 1 species
UGAUGAGGUACUUUUUGUAGAACGGUCCGGCGAGUUAUUGUAUGUAGCGAGCUUAAGGUGUUCAGCACCGGAGGCGAAGCGAGAGCGAGUCUGAAUAGGGCGACACAGUUGCAUGCAAUAGACCCGAAACCAGGUGACCUAUCCAUGGGCAGGUUGAAGUGGGGGUAAAACCCCAUGGAGGACCGAACCGACCCCCGUUGCAAUGGUGGCGGAUGACCUGUGGAUAGCGGAGAAAUUCUAAUCGAACUUGGAGAUAGCUGGUUCUCCCCGAAAUAGCUUUAGGGCUAGCGUUGAUUUAGAUUACCGGAGGUAAAGCACUGAAUGGGCUAGGGGCUGAUAAAGUUACUGAACCCUAUCAAACUAAGAAUGCCGGCAAAUUGAUGAUCAGCAGUCAGACUACGUGAGAUAAGUCUCGUGGUCAAAAGGGAAACAGCCCAGACCCACAGCUAAGGUCCCAAAUAUACGCUAAGUGGAAAACGAUGUGGAAUUGCGAAAACAACCAGGAUGUUGGCUUAGAAGCAGCCACUCAUUAAAAGAGUGCGUAAUAGCUCACUGGUCGAGUGACUCUGCGCGGAAAAUAUAACGGGGCUAAGCGUAUAACCGAAGCUUGGGAUGCAGCAAUGCAUGGUAGGGGAGCGUCGAAUACGGGGUGAAGUCGCAGCGGAAGCAGCGGUGGACUGUAUUCGAGUGAGAAUGCCGGAAUGAGUAGCGAGAAUUAUGUGGGAAUCAUAAUGGCCGAAAAUCUAAGGUUUCUUGGGGAAGGUUCGUCCGCCCAAGGUAAGCCGGGAGCUAAGGCGAGGCCGAAAGGCGUAGUCGAUGCACAUACGGUUGAAAUUCCGUAGCCACCGAAACUUAAACCAGAAGGACACUUGGAGCUAUCCGAACCCGGGCGUUGGUUGACCCGGGCGUAAGGGACCGAAAUUAAGUAGGGAAGUCGGAGAAUGACGAGGCGAGAAAAGUUCUGGUGUAUGCUAAGGUGCCCGUACCGCAAACCGACACAGGUAGAUGAGGAGAGAAUCCUAAGGCCAACGGGAGAAGGGUUGUUAAGGAACUCGGCAAAUUGACCCCGUAACUUCGGGAAAAGGGGAGCCGGCUACGGCCGGCCGCAGAGAAUAGGCCCAAGCAACUGUUUACCAAAAACACAGGUCUCUGCUAAAUCGAAAGAUGACGUAUAGGGGCUGACGCCUGCCCGGUGCCGGAAGGUUAAGAGGAGAGCUUAGCGCAAGCGAAGGUUUGAAUUGAAGCCCCGGUAAACGGCGGCCGUAACUAUAACGGUCCUAAGGUAGCGAAAUUCCUUGUCAGGUAAGUUCUGACCCGCACGAAUGGCGUAAUGAUUUGGGCACUGUCUCAACAGCCCGCCCGGCGAAAUUGUAGUACUGGUGAAGAUGCCAGUUACCCGCAACUAGACGGAAAGACCCCAUGGAGCUUUACUGUAGCCUAAUACUGAAGAUCGGUAAUGCAUGUACAGGAUAGGUGGGAGCCGGAGAAACCCGGGCGUCAGCUCGGGCGGAGGCAACCUUGGAAUACCACCCUUGUAUUGCUGGUUUUCUAACCUGCGGCCAUGAAUCUGGUCGGGGGACACUGUUAGGUGGGCAGUUUGACUGGGGCGGUCGCCUCCAAAAGAGUAACGGAGGCGCUCAAAGGUUGGCUCAGCACGGACGGAAAUCGUGCAUAGAGUGCAAACGCAUAAGCCAAGUUGACUGCGAGACCGACGGGUCGAGCAGGUACGAAAGUAGGACUUAGUGAUCCGGUGGUAGAAAGUGGGAUUGCCAUCGCUCAACGGAUAAAAG